GUCCUUUAGGGUUUUAUUUAAAGUCUGACCUGCCCACUGAUUUAAUUAAAUGGCCGCAGUAAUUUGACUGUGCAAAGGUAGCAUAAUCAUUAGUUUUUUAUUUAAAAGCUUGUAUGAAAGGUUGGACGAGGUAAAAUCUGUCUCUAUUUAAUUUAAUUUAGAAUUUAACUUUUAAGUCAAAAGGCUUACAUCUUAUUAAAAGACGAGAAGACCCUAUAGAUCUUUAUAAUUUAUUUAUUAGGUUUAAUUAAGAAUUUUUUAAAUUUUAUUAAUAUAAUUAUUUUAUUGGGGUAAUAUAAAGAUUAAAAUAUUUCUUUUUUUUAUUAACAUUAAUUUAUGGUUUUUAUGAUCCAGUUUUAUUGAUUAUAAGAUUAAGUUACCUUAGGGAUAACAGCGUAAAUUUUUUAAAGAGUUCUUAUCGAUAAAAAAGUUUGCGACCUCGAUGUUGGAUUAAAGAUUAUUUCAGGUGUAGAAGUUUGAAAAUUUUGGUCUGUUCGACCAUUAAAUCUUUACAUGAUCUGAGUUCAGACCGGUGUAAGCCAGGUCGGUUUCUAUCUUUAGUAAAUUAAAAUAUUUUAGUACGAAAUGACCAAUUAUUUAAUAUAUAGAUAUUAUUAAUUUUUGAUUAUUAUUAA
rnacentral:rRNA from 1 species